GAGUUUGAUCUUGGCUCAGGAUGAACGCUGGCGGCGUGCCUAAUACAUGCAAGUCGAGCGAACAGACGGGGAGCUUGCUCCCCUGACGUUAGCGGCGGACGGGUGAGUAACACGUGGGUAACCUACCUAUAAGACUGGGAAUAACUCCGGGAAACCGGGCUAAUGCCGGAUAACAUGUUGGACCGCAUGGUCCUACAGUGAAAGACGGUCUUGCUGUCACUUA
rnacentral:rRNA from 1 species